GUAUGGGGAUCUGCCCGAUAGAGGGGGAUAACUACUGGAAACGGUAGGUAAUACCGCAUAAUGUCUACGGACCAAAGCAGGGGCUCUUCGGACCUUGCACUAUCGGAUGAACCCAUAUGGGAUUAGCUAGUAGGUGGGGUAAAGGCUCACCUAGGCGACGAUCUCUAGCUGGUCUGAGAGGAUGAUCAGCCACACUGGGACUGAGACACGGCCCAG
rnacentral:rRNA from 1 species